GGGGAUUUAGCUCAGCGGUAGAGCGCUUGCCUAGCGAGCAAGCGCAAGGCCCUGAGUUCGGUCCCCA
rnacentral:tRNA from 1 species